rnacentral:misc_RNA from 1 species
ACGAACCUCUAGUGUGCCAGUUAUCCUGCCAAGGGUAAGUGCUGGGUAGCUACGUUCGGAAAGGAUAACCGCUGAAAGCAUCUAAGUGGGAAGCCUUCCUCAAGAUGAGAUAUCCUUUAAGGGUCCUGGAAGAAUACCAGGUUGAUAGGUUAGAAGUGUAAGUAUAGUAAUAUAUUAAGCUGACUAAUACUAAUUACCCGUAUCUUUGGCCAUAUUUUUGUCUUCCUUGUAAAGACCCUGGUGGUUAAAGAAAAGAGGAAACACCUGUUAUCAUUCCGAACACAGAAGUUAAGCUCUUUUUCGCUGAUGGUACUGCGAGUUCGCGGGAGAGUAGGUUAUUGCCAGGGUUUUUAUAUUUUAAAUUUUGAUUUUAUUUUAUGUUUUUUAAAUGUUAGUGUUUUUGAAUAUAUUAUUUAAAUAACAUAAAAAAUAAAAUAUAUAUUGACAUGGAUUAAACAAAGAUAUAUAUUAUUUUAUGUUGCAUAAACAAAUUGGCAAAAUAGAGAUGGAAGAUAAAAAUAUGGUCAAAGUAAUAAGAGUCUAUGGUGAAUGCCUAGGAGCUUUAAGGCGAAGAAGGUCGUGGUAAGCUG